rnacentral:rRNA from 1 species
UAAGACGUAGGUGGCAAGCGUUAUCCGGAUUUACUGGGCGUAAAGAGGGUGUAGGCGGUUCUUCAAGUCGGAUGUAAAAUCUCCCGGCUUAACUGGGAGGGACCAUGCGAUACUGUUGGGCUAGAGGACAGCAGAGGGAGGUGGAAUUCCCGGUGUAGUGGUGAAAUGCGUAGAUAUCGGGAGGAACACCAGUGGCGAAGGCGACCUCCUGGGCUGUUACUGACGCUGAGACCCGAAAGCGUGGGGAGCGAACGGGAUUAGAUACCCCGGUAGUCCACGCCGUAAACGAUGUCUACUAGGUUGUGGAAGUUCUGACGCUUGCACAGCCGAAGCAAAAGUGAUAAGUAGACCGCCUGGGGAGUACGGUCGCAAGGCUA